rnacentral:rRNA from 1 species
GGGGCGUUUACCACGGUAUGAUUCAUGACUGGGGUGAAGUCGUAACAAGGUAACCGUAGGGGAACCUGCGGUUGGAUCACCUCCUUA